ACCUUAGAGACCAACUAAGUUUGUUAUUGGUAUGAGCUUUCGUGUGCAAGCACACAAAUCUGGAGAAGUGUGCAUGCACACAAAAGCUCAUACCAAUAACAAACUUAGUUGGUUUCUAAGGU